UGUACGCAGGGCUAACCUUAUUAAUUUAUUUUAAAUAAAGCUAAAGCUUACACAGACUAGCUACUGUAUAGCGCUAAAUGUGUUUGAUCCUCCUUUUUUUAUAUUUACAUUCAGUUACAUUAGUUUUAGUAUUUGUCUGAAGAUUACCGUGUGGCCAAUUUAUGAACUGCCAUAAUUAACUACCCAUUUCCCGCACGGUGUUUUCUGUUGAGAUCACAAAAGCCACAGAAUAUUGUGUAAUUAGGGCAUACUUUACACACAAAUGCACUCACACACACACAGUCUCCAAACCAAAACUCUCAUAUGACCCUCAGCCGAUUCAACCCGACAGAAAUUCUUGGCACAAACCUCCCACUCUAUUCACUGGCUGCUGUUCAGCUGUCAUACUCACUCGCUGCACUCUCUCCCUUUUGUAACUGGGAGCUGUGUGAAGAUGAAUGCACUAAUAUAAGCUGUCGCUUUUCACAGGCAACGUGUUUAUACAAAGUCAGGCAGUCGUUCAGGGUCAGAUAUGAUGAGGCAGAGUCGACGCUGCCGGGCGACGGCGGCAAAAAAUGAUACAGCAGGUUUAAACAAAAGCACGGCAAACUAUGGUUAUGUCGUGGACAAUCGUACCCAUGAUCCUCAACGUCAAAGAUAUAAACAUCCAGGGAGGGAGGAUAUCCAAAAAAUACAGUAAUUCCAAUGACAAGAGGCAAAGGAAAUAUUAAAAGAAAUAAAAGAAAAAGAAAAUAGAGAAGCAAAACAUUACUUGGGGUUAACUGUGAAAUUAAAGCUAAAGGGGACUUUUGGGAAUUUUGAUAAUGCUUGAUUAAUUGCCUAUUUGUCUAAAGCUCAAUAUUAAUUGUGAACCCAUGGCAUUUUGCACAGUUAUUGCAACAAUCCAAAACAGGGAUAAAUAUGGUCCAGAAUAUUCUCCAGAAUCAGCUCAGAAUUUAUUACAAACUGGCUAAAUUGCUUAACAGGUUACUUUUUUAUUUUUUUUAUAAAACAGUUUACUUCAUCCGUAUCUGAUGUUGCCAAAUGUUUCAGCUGCAACGCUUCACUGCUUCCUGAUUUCCCCCAUUCACAUGGUGGGUUCAAGGUCAGAUCUGAAGGUCUGUGUGUUACAGUAAUCCCACAUUCAAAGAUGCUGUUGUUUUUACCGUUACCUUGGUUUCAUUUGAUCAAUUUUGACAGCCCUAAUAUAAAUAAACACCAAAACCUACAUUGCACGUUCCAGAAGUUUCUGAAAGCCUCCAUACGUGAUAUGCUGAUGAAAAUAUUCAGUGUUUGUUCGAUACAAAACCAACAGAGCUCACAGAGGUGCCAUGAUGUGUACGAGAAAAUAGCAGAUACACACACACACGCACAGACACACACUCUCUGCCAGAUGAGUGUGACUUGUUUACUGCAGCCCUGCACGGCCCCGGCCGGGGCCGUUUGGGACACCCAUGGGUGCUGUGUAGCUCUUGGAAGGCAGACGUGGGGUGAAUGACAGUGGAGAUAGCCUCGCGCCAUCACUGCCACCUGAACCUCCCUGAGCUGAGAUGCUGGCCUAACACACACACACACACACUCAGAAGUUCACCAGGUCAGACGCAUCAAAACAACCUGCCUGCGGUCAUCUCAAGUGCAAGAAUAAACCUCUGCCGUCACACGACCUUUAUUCAGCACUUUUAUUUUCUAUAUUUAUAGAGAGCUGUAUAUACUCCUGGCUAAUCCUGUUUAUAGACUAACAAAGACUGAUGCCUGGAUCACAUUUGUUUUCCACUUUUUGUUUGGGACUGAAAAAAAACUUAAUAUUAUUCUAAAUAUUUUUAAUUUUUGCAAUGGCUAAAAUUGAUCUCUUGUGCCCCUAGUGGUCUAUACCCUUCGAAAACAUUUCGGUGGGCAACGGUAUGAAGCUAGGACGAGCAAAACAGAACGUCGUUCUCGGUCGUACUUGUUGUCGGUUUUUGUUGACCUUGUGUUGUGUUUCAGUUACAGUGCCACAUUGUGGACAUAGUAAGUGUUGCAUGCUAAAUGUCCCCACCUUUUGCCGCUGUCCGGGGUUCUUCAGAUUCCAUAUAGCUAAAACUUUUAUAUCCAAGUCCUUCGGUUGUCCUUUUAUUGCCUUUGUUGGGGUCACAUCAGGACCUGACAUUAUCAGCAGCAGGGAGGAGCUGAGGACCAUUCAAUGCCGGCCUUGUCUUAUCAGUGUUAUUGGUAGACACACAUAUAACCCAAACUUGCACACAAAGGCAGCUGUUCCCAGACCCACAAACACACCUUUUUUUCCGUCUAGUAUGUGAUCUAUCCACUGUGUUACAAGACGUACAGUAAAUCAAUCCCACAGGCAUUGCAUAAUAGUUGGCAAGCUGAGUCCAAAUAGCAAAAUAAUCACCUUGUCAACUGGUCUGCUCUGGCUCACGCCGGCUGGAAAUAAAUAAAAUCACAAGGUCCCUCUGCAGCUUCCAGAUAAACAAGUGUGUUUACACAAAGUAGAGUUAUGAAGCUGCCUGUCUGAUGUCCAAAAAACUUUGACUGCGUGCCAGUGUUCUCUGAGAGAAACCACAUCUGGUCAACAAGUAUUAGUCAUGAUCACAUGUGCGGUGCUAAAUACGAAUCACCUCUUUUGAUUUGUCAACAUGUUUGUCUUGUACAAUAGGUUGUUGAUAAUCAUCUGGGAACAAGAAUAAGGAAGGAAGCAAAAAAAAAAUCUUCUAUCUCUUCUGUCAGCCAUGUUUUCAUUGAAAAAAAAAGAUACUUUAUUGCAUGUCAAGAUCUAUUGUUUUCAUUCAUUUCCUGCUGGGGAAAAACAGACCUUUACCGCAUCCCUUUGCAAAGCUUUGGUGUUUUCAGUGGGUUUCCAUUUCAAUUUGGUUAAAUAUUUAAAUUUGAUUUAAUAAGAUAUCUUUAUUUUUAUAUCAAACCUGACCAGAUUAAUGUCUUUGUCCGGUUGAAAAAAUAAUUGCAAAGUUUGUUGUAGACGCAUUAAAAAAGACGUCUUAACACGUUCUUAGAACUCUUUGACCUCCCCUCAUGUUUUUGAUUCAGGUGCAGUCUAAUACAAUGUUUCAAAACCCCUGGGUUGUGACCCGGAGUUUGGUCACAGGACCGCUUAAUGUAGAACAUUCUGGUUUAGUUUGGUCGUCCAGGAGAACAUCUCCACCCAGACUGUAGUGGACAAUAUUAGUAGUACUUUUCUGUAGUAAUACUUGCUUUGAAGACGUUGUCUUUGUCCAAUAUGUCCAUUAUUCCAUUUUAGAAUAUGUCCAAACUGUCUUUGCUCGUCUCUCACUCUUUCAAAUGCCCGUUGUCUUUCUGGUUCGAUUGUCUCUGAAUCCAUCGUUCUUUGUCACGAUCCUGUUCAACGGUGCCACCUUCUGCUCAACCUCCCGCUCUCCUUAAACCACUCAGAUGGCAUCGUGGGCAAAGUCUUUUCAGUUUUUGUUUAGGUUCAAAACAUCAAAGCCAGGCUGCGACAUGCUGGUGUUUGACGAGGUUUGCGUCGCGUCACCGUCGUCCGUGGUCUACGUCGUGCGUUGGCACAUUUCGUUUCUACCUUUAAAUUAGGAUGUAGAGGUUGUUGCAUCAACCGUUUUUGGAUUUUACUCUCAGCAUCUCUGCUGCAAAAUUAAACUCAGUUGGAUCCUGUUUCAUCUAAUCCUGUGCCUCCACACACACCUUGGUAUUAUCUGCAUUUAACAGCUUCUUCACUGCCAGUGCUGUGCCAUCACACAGGUUGUUGUUGUGUCGCUUGCUCUGGUUGCGAAACGCAGCUUUUUUUUAUUGAUGUAACAGGUGCUUAGCUCGACUGCGGCAGUCAAAAUAACACGUCUCCUCGCUGUGUUUGGCUUUCAGGAUGGAAGCUAAAGUUAGACAUCUUUGAGGUUUUUCUGCCACUUGAUGGAAGGUGAUGCCAAUGCAUAAUGCAUGAGGAGAGAGGGAAGACUUUGUCUGGCUGCUUUUUAUAGAGCAGCCAAGCUCGGCUACUGCUGCUGCACACACACAGACACACACACAGACACAGACACUUCCCUGAGCCAACCGUCUCGUCUCACUUGACGCUCUGUAACCUCUCACAGAUCAUGAAAGCAGGAGCAGGAAAAAAACAGGAAUUGAGCAAACUGGCAACAUUGUUGAGAAUAAAGGGAAGAAACAAGGAAUAAGAAAAAUCAGAAAUGUUGAUGCUCUAUUUUUGAGACAGCCAGGUCUUUUGAUGCGCAAACCAAACGAGAACCACGGGGGAAGAAAGAGAGGAGCAAAACUGGCGUCUGGCUCAAAGACGAGCUUUAACAGAAAUACUUUCUACGUGUGAUCCUCCACGCUCUCCUUCAUCUCGGCGCCCGUCGUUCCGGUGCUUCACUCAAAGUCACUUCAGGUGGAGUUAAAAUGAGGGGUGAACAACACGGGUUAUCACAUGAGAAGGUGGAGGGAUGGGGUGGGGGUGGGGGCGGUGAAGCGAGUAUGUCAAAUGAUUUCCAGCCAUGCUGAGCGUCAAUCUCUGGGUUGCAGAUUUGUCUUGCAAACCCCAUUUGCUGCCCUGAAAAGUGUGCAGUUAUUUUCUCCUAUCCCUCUAAUCCUUAUUUAACUUGGCUGGUUGACUAAGAGCACACUGUCAUUUAUAGUAAUAGCCUGAGGGGAGAAGAUGCAGGGGGCUGCACAUAUUCACGCUCACACCUGUGUGCAGCCCAGAACCACCGCACUGUGAUGGACCAGACUGGAGGUCACUGAUCUGCUGCACUGGUUUUAUCUGACUAAUAUUUUAGGCACAUGAGGGUAUAUAUAUAUACCCUUUUAUAUAUAUAUAUAUAUAUAUAAAUAUAUAUUAAAAAGUGAUUUACCGGCUUACUUCAAAAUGUCAUAUGAGGUGUUGGGUUGGACAAUUUCAGUGUUGUCAAAAUGAACAUGUUAAACGUGUUCGUGAAUUUGUGAAAUUAAUAUGAUCAAACAUUUCAAUGAAAUGUCCAACAAUUUCAUCGUUGACCAUCGUUACCAGAGGCUUUAACUUCAGAUCUGACACCCAGCUUUCGUCACUGGUGUCAGAGUUCACAAAUCACUGUCAGAGACUAAUGGCUGAAAUCCAACAACUCCAUGAAGCUAAAUAUUGAGAAAUAUUUUUCCAUAUUCAGAAUUCCAUCGGUUGGAAUAAUCACAGAAAAAAACAGCUGUGAAACACAUGUAUCAUGGACUUGAAGUUUUUCGAUUAAUCGUGAUUAAUUACAAUCAGAAUCAGCGCUGUUAAAUGGUGAUUAAUCAGAGGGCAAAAAAAAAAAAUGUGUUAAUCAUUUGUCGGCCAGCAUGUUACUGUUAAAGGAGUCUUGAUUCUCAGCUAAAGGAGGCAAACUAUUCCGACAAGUGUCUAAUUGUGCUUCCUGUGCAGGAACAGACUAUUUUCACCUAAUCCCAGUCACAUACCCAGAUUCAGCCAAAGCUCAGAAGUUAGGAUUCUCUCAGUAAUACCCUGCGUCUUACUCGGAAAGCCAUUUAAUUCUCUCUCUCUCUCUAUCUAUCUAUCUCUCUCUCUCUGCUACAGUGUGAACAGUUUCCAGCCUUUGACAAAAGUCUUUUUAUUCAAUCAGAGGUGACAAUGAGGAGAGAAACUGUCCCGGAGGUCACAGUUCAAAAUCAAAUCCCCAUGACGGCAAGAUGGAAUUUUUCAGGAGCAAGAUUUUAUCAACGGUAGCCUCCCCUUUGGCAAGACACGAAAAUACCAAAUACCAGGAGUGUCAUGUUCAAGCAUCACUGCAGUGAAUCUGAGGACAGAUCAUUUAAACCAGACUAAUUUCAGGGUUAAAAAAACAGUUCUUCCAGGUCACAUUCGAGCACAUUUUUCAGUAUUUUUAAUAUUUAUAUUUAAAAUGUUUCAGGUUCAAACUACAAAAUGAUGACUUUCUAAAAAGUGAUUCAUUUAAAUUCACUGUCUGAGGGAUGGAAAAGUUAGAAUCACUUAAAUCAUUUGAAGCCAUUAUUUGGAAAAUUAUUCUCUGGUGCUCGAAAAUAACUGAAAAUGUCAACAUGGGUUGUAGACAAAUAGCUGUCUAGAAAUUUCAUUGGAUUUUUCCAUACCCAUUGUUUUGUCACUUUAAAGCAGCAAUAGUUUGGAAAAACAUCCAAUUUUAUAACAUUUUAGCCCAGAAAUAGUCAUUUCUAUUUUCACCAAGCUUUGACUAAGACUUGCCAUAAUGGAAUGAAAUGUAAACAAAAACUAAUAAUAAGCUUAGCCAUAAAUAAUGAAUACAUUCUGUAAUCAAAUGUGCUCAAAUCAGCAGCACUGAAAUGUUCAAAUUUAGCUACAAGCCAAUUCCUGGAACCGUCUUCCGAAACUCCAGCUCAGUCUCCUACUUCCGAACUUUUCUAUUUAAAACACCUUAACAGUAAGGAAUAGCCCGGAUUUAUCGGAGGAGGCUGCAGGGAGGGCCGGCAAGCGUCGCGUAAAACCAUCAGGAGUCAGUGCUCUUACAUUAAUUAGCAGUGUAGCUCAGGACAGCUCUGGUGGGCGAUCUCAGACAUGACUGAUUGGAUUUUAAUGAAACUUGUGGAAGUCAUUAAUCCACGUGCUUUACAGCCUGCUGUCAAACUUCAGCCUCAUUAUCAAAAUGGCACCGAUCACAUCGCGCAAGAAAUGAUGUAUGGCGUCGUCGCGUAAAGUUGGCGUCCUGAUUACAGGUGACAUAUAUAUUUUUGAUUGGCUGCGACAUCGGCUCACGGAAGAAAACAUGUUUUUGUUGUUGUUGUUGUUGUUAUUUCGUUACCUGGAGAACAUGAUAUAGCUGUUUUCCUCUGGAGACACCCGCAGGGCAAACUUGAGGGUGGCGGUGUCUGGAAUAUUAUAAAUAACACAGCCAAGGAUGAAUGUUUGUGGCACCUUCCAUUCCUCCCUCCCUCCCUUCCUCCCUUCCUCCUUCCAUCCUUCUGUCUCUCCUCUUGCCCCGCUACUCAUCUAUGCUCGACACGAGCGCCUCGGCGUUGGCGUGUGUGGCUUGAAUUUAUAUGAACGUCUCCCUGGCGAGGGACAACGGGGGCCCGAGUCAUUGAUAUGUGCAGGAGGAUUCAGGAUAAACAGCCUCAACGCCAAGCGCUGUUACAGCCAGUCUGCCUGAUACAUUCUGAUUGAGCAAAAGACAGAGAGGUGGAGCUGGGAGGCUGGGAGGGUGAUGGAAUUGAGGGUGGAGUGGUUUGGAGGGUCGGAGGGGGGAGGGAUAGAAGCUUAAUAAGCUCAGGAUAAAAUGACAGAAAAGGGAGCUUUUGUUUUCACCUACUGCUCCAAAAUGGAGCCCCAGUAAACCACAUGGUGCCUGGCCCCAUAAACGGGCCGCCCCGGUCCUCGUACACUGCUGAUCUUGUCUAGUCGACCUCUCGGAGUGUUUCCCACUACGUGUCAUUCACCUCUUUCACAUUACGAUUCAUAAAAUAUAUGCUCACGUCUGUUCCUAGAUCGGUGUCACACUGGGACACUUGGACUUAAAGACAUUUGAGAUUGAACUUCUGACUCUCUGACAAGAUCUGGUUCGAGGCCCAAUUCUGGGACUUAGAUAUAUAUUUUUUAUUAUUGUUGUUAUUAUUUAUUUCUGUAUUUCUGUGUUGCUGGACCAGCUUUUAAAAAAAUGUGGUUUUGUGUGUACUUUAAGGCCAGUAUGAUUUGUUAGACUUAUAACUUUGGGAUAUCAUUAAGGUUUUUAGCCAUUUCUGAAUUUAUAUUUAACUAAUAUUUUGGGCCAUUUUUUAAAUAUUUUUUUCCCUCAUCAAUUAAAAUAUUUAUACUUAGCCUGGAUUUUAUUAUAAAUAUAUAUUUAUAUAAUUUUUUUUUGUUAUUCUUCAGCUCCAUCGGACAGAGCCAUUAGUCAUGUUAGAGGAGCCUAAAAAAACAGGGAAAGAUUCUUUCGUUUUACAUGUAAAUGUUUGCAAACAACAUUUGUAUUAUACAAACAUUAGGCAACUAAUUACUGAACAUACAGUUUUAUUUACUAGGAGGAGAAGCAGCACAUUUUUUCAGUAUCCAACCUCGGCUCUUGGAACAGGUUUGACCGUCCCUGUUUAACAGCAGGACGACACAGACAAAUAUCUGUGAUGUCAUUAUUGUUCCCAUUAUUGCCCACUUUAGCCCAUAAAUAGGAGCUGUUAUUUACUCGUGUCCCAACAGUGGUUUUUCCUUUAGCUACGUUCCUUCACAGCCAUUCUUUUGUGUGGGUGAGCACCAUCAUCACUAUUCCCCUCUUCCCCUCUCUCUUCUCCUGCUGCGUUUGUCUGGGUGACAUGGUCAGCCUCUUAAUGGACUGGAAAUUCAUGGUG